rnacentral:Y_RNA from 1 species
GGCUGGUCCGAAGGUAGUGAUUUUUCUCAAUUGAUUAUUUGCAGUCAGUUGCAGAUUAAAUUUGGUGUUCUUCUCUUUUCCCCUUCUCACUACUGUACUUGCCUAGUCUUUA